CAGAGGAAUAGGAGUUGUAUUUAAGGCAGGGUGUGCUGUCAACAACCCAGGAGUUGUAUUUAAGGCAGGGUGUGCUGUCAACAACCCAGAGGAAUAGGAGUUGUAUUUAAGGCAGGGUGUGCUGUCAACAACCCAGGAGUUGUAUUUAAGGCAGGGUGUGCUGUCAACAACCCAGAGGAGGAGUUGUAUUUAAGGCAGGGUGUGCUGUCAACAACCCAGAGGAAUGUGAGUUGUAUUUAAGGCAGGGUGUGCUGUCAACAACCCAGAGGAAUAGGAGUUGUAUUUAAGGCAGGGUGUGCUGUCAACAACCCAGAGGAAUAGGAGUUGUAUUUAAGGCAGGGUGUGCUGUCAACAACCCAGGGGAGGAGUUGUAUUUAAGGCAGGGUGUGCUGUCAACAACCCAGGAGAAUAGGAGUUGUAUUUAAGGCAGGGUGUGCUGUCAACAACCCAGGGGAGGAGUUGUAUUUAAGGCAGGGUGUGCUGUCAACAACCCAGGAGGAGGAGUUGUAUUUAAGGCAGGGUGUGCUGUCAACAACCCAGGAGAGGAGUUGUAUUUAAGGCAGGGUGUGCUGUCAACAACCCAGGAGUUGUAUUUAAGGCAGGGUGUGCUGUCAACAACCCAGAGGAAUAGGAGUUGUAUUUAAGGCAGGGUGUGCUGUCAACAACCCAGGGGAGGAGGAGUUGUGUUUAAGGCAGGGUGUGCUGUCAACAACCCAGAGGUGGUGUGCUUAGCCAGGGUGUGCUGUAGGCAAUAUAAUCAACAUUUUUCUGGCCAAGAAAGGGUGGACGGAUCAAACGGAUUUGCCAGAAGACUU